rnacentral:rRNA from 1 species
GAUGAACGCUGGCGGCGUGCCUAAUACAUGCAAGUCGAGCGAACAGACGAGGAGCUUGCUCCUCUGACGUUAGCGGCGGACGGGUGAGUAACACGUGGAUAACCUACCUAUAAGACUGGGAUAACUUCGGGAAACCGGAGCUAAUACCGGAUAAUAUAUUGAACCGCAUGGUUCAAUAGUGAAAGACGGUUUUGCUGUCACUUAUAGAUGGAUCCGCGCCGCAUUAGCUAGUUGGUAAGGUAACGGCUUACCAAGGCGACGAUGCGUAGCCGACCUGAGAGGGUGAUCGACCACGAUGGAACUAAGACACGCUCCAGCCUCCUACGGGAGGCAGCAGUAGGGAAUCUUCCGCAAGGGGCGAAAGCCUUACGGGGCAACGCCGCGUGAGUAAUGAAGGUCUUCUGAUCGUAAAACUCUGUUAUUAGGGAAGAACAAAUGUGUAAGUAACUAUGCACGUCUUGACGGUACCUAAUCAGAAAGCCACGGCUAACUACGU